rnacentral:rRNA from 1 species
UUUUGUAUAAUGGGUCAGCGACUUAUAUUCUGUAGCAAGGUUAACCGAAUAGGGGAGCCGAAGGGAAACCGAGUCUUAACUGGGCGUUAAGUUGCAGGGUAUAGACCCGAAACCCGGUGAUCUAGCCAUGGGCAGGUUGAAGGUUGGGUAACACUAACUGGAGGACCGAACCGACUAAUGUUGAAAAAUUAGCGGAUGACUUGUGGCUGGGGGUGAAAGGCCAAUCAAACCGGGAGAUAGCUGGUUCUCCCCGAAAGCUAUUUAGGUAGCGCCUCGUGAAUUCAUCUCCGGGGGUAGAGCACUGUUUCGGCAAGGGGGUCAUCCCGACUUACCAACCCGAUGCAAACUGCGAAUACCGGAGAAUGUUAUCACGGGAGACACACGGCGGGUGCUAACGUCCGUCGUGAAGAGGGAAACAACCCAGACCGCCAGCUAAGGUCCCAAAGUCAUGGUUAAGUGGGAAACGAUGUGGGAAGGCCCAGACAGCCAGGAUGUUGGCUUAGAAGCAGCCAUCAUUUAAAGAAAGCGUAAUAGCUCACUGGUCGAGUCGGCCUGCGCGGAAGAUGUAACGGGGCUAAACCAUGCACCGAAGCUGCGGCAGCGACGCUUAUGCGUUGUUGGGUAGGGGAGCGUUCUGUAAGC